UUAAAUUUUCGGUUUUUGGUUAUUUAUUUAACUAAAUAAUGUAUUUGUAAUAUUUGAUGUAUUAUAUUUACCAAGUAAAUAAUUUUUUUGGCAUCUUAAACCAUCUAUUUACGAUGAAUAUUCGAUAUCAUAUAAAAAAUUGAACAAAUAGACGUAAUGUCGUAAUUGGAGAAUUGUAGACAAUAUAUAAAACAAUGGUUAUUAAUGUAAAAUAUGAAGAAAUAUUAUAUUAUGACUUAGUAUGACAUAAAAUAUUAUAAAUUAGUUAUACAUGUUUACAAAAAAUAAAAUGAUUUUUAAACUUCUAUGAAAAAUUUAACAUAUAAAAAAGGGCGAUGAAUUAGUCAUCAAAUUGUAAAUAAUUU
rnacentral:lncRNA from 1 species